rnacentral:rRNA from 1 species
UGGGGAAUAUUGGACAAUGGGCGAAAGCCUGAUCCAGCAAUGCCGCGUGUGUGAAGAAGGCCUGCGGGUUGUAAAGCACUUUUAUCGGGAAAGAAACAGCCUGGGGCGAAUACCCCCAGGCCUUGACGGUACCCGAUGAAUAAGCACCGGCUAACUCCGUGCCAGCAGCCGCGGUAAUACGGAGGGUGCGAGCGUUAAUCGGAAUUACUGGGCGUAAAGCGAGUGUAGGCGGUUGCAUAAGUCGGAUGUGAAAGCCCCGGGCUUAACCUGGGAAUGGCAUUCGAUACUGUGCGGCUAGAGUCUGAUAGAGGGAAGUGGAAUUCCAGGUGUAGCGGUGAAAUGCGUAGAUAUCUGGAAGAACACCAGUGGCGAAGGCGGCUUCCUGGAUCAAGACUGACGCUGAGGCUCGAAAGCGUGGGGAGCAAACAGG